rnacentral:rRNA from 2 species
UACACAUGCAAGUCGAACGAUGAAGCUGGAGCUUGCUCUGGUGGAUUAGUGGCGAACGGGUGAGUAACACGUGAGUAACCUGCCCUUGACUCUGGGAUAAGCGUUGGAAACGACGUCUAAUACCGGAUACGAGCUUCAGCCGCAUGGCUAGGAGUUGGAAAGAAUUUCGGUCAAGGAUGGACUCGCGGCCUAUCAGCUAGUUGGUGAGGUAAUGGCUCACCAAGGCGACGACGGGUAGCCGGCCUGAGAGGGUGACCGGCCACACUGGGACUGAGACACGGCCCAGACUCCUACGGGAGGCAGCAGUGGGGAAUAUUGCACAAUGGGCGCAAGCCUGAUGCAGCAACGCCGCGUGAGGGACGACGGCCUUCGGGUUGUAAACCUCUUUUAGCAGGGAAGAAGCGAAAGUGACGGUACCUGCAGAAAAAGCACCGGCUAACUACGUGCCAGCAGCCGCGGUAAUACGUAGGGUGCAAGCGUUGUCCGGAAUUAUUGGGCGUAAAGAGCUCGUAGGCGGUUUGUCGCGUCUGCUGUGAAAACGCGAGGCUCAACCUCGCGCCUGCAGUGGGUACGGGCAAACUAGAGUGCGGUAGGGGAGAUUGGAAUUCCUGGUGUAGCGGUGGAAUGCGCAGAUAUCAGGAGGAACACCGAUGGCGAAGGCAGAUCUCUGGGCCGUAACUGACGCUGAGGAGCGAAAGCGUGGGGAGCGAACAGGAUUAGAUACCCUGGUAGUCCACGCCGUAAACGUUGGGAACUAGAUGUAGGGACCAUUCCACGGUUUCUGUGUCGCAGCUAA